AAAAUACUCCCUCCGUCCGAAAAUACUUGUCAUCAAAAUGGAUAAAAAGAGAUGUAUCUAAAACUAAAAUACGUCUAGAUACAUUUCCUUUUAUCCAUUUUGAUGACAAGUAUUUCCGGACGGAGGGAGUAUUUG
rfam:Triticum aestivum genome assembly, contig: Triticum_aestivum_CS42_TGACv1_scaffold_515907_6BS